rfam:Deltaproteobacteria bacterium RBG_13_61_14 RBG_13_scaffold_1086, whole genome shotgun sequence.
GAGGAAAGGAUCGGGACUGGUGUCCCUGCCGGGCUUCAAACCCGGAGGCGGGCCGAUAAAACGGUCCGUGGCAGGUUCGAUUCCUGCCCUUUCCGC